GGAAUUUUCCUGUGAAGUCAGUAAGUUAAAAUAAGACAAGCAAAAUCUUUAGGAAAUUAGUUUGCCCAGUGUCAUGUUUCAAAAAUAAUAGUAUUCAGCAAUAGCAAGAUUUUGUUUUAAGGUCAGGGCAUUCAACUUUCUUGCUAUUUUUAGUGACUUCACUACCUGAAAUAUUCAAUGAAUUAUUCAUAGCUGCACAGAAAUGGCCAUACCCUCUGUUGGUAUUUUGAAAUAAUGACAGAUUUCUAGAAUGUUUGCUACAACUGAGAAUGUCGGCUAUGGGUAAAGAAGCAGCAGUGCCACCAGUUCCCAGCCCUUCUCUCAAUACCUGGGAAACAAGCAUGUCAUUUUGCUAGGAAAAUCUUUCUAACCUCCAAUACAAGUGGCACUAGAGAAACCACGAGGGAGCUAUUAUUUUAGAGGCUCUCUUUUGAACCGAGCCACUUGUGCCAGACUAUUACUGCAACAAACAAUCAAGUCUGUCUGCUCCUAAUAAGUGCCAAGAUGCAGGGGGUUAGUUCUGUACUCUCUGCUCCAGGGUUUAGACAGAGAGAAAAAGAAGAGUGAGAGAAUGUAUACACACCUGGAAGUGUCAGUGAUUAAUGCUCUUACUCCAUUGUGUCUUCUGAAGAGCCAAGGUCCAUGGGUCUGCCUGCCCUGUCUUUUGUCUUCUGUGACACCCAUAGAGAACAGUUUGAUGAUCUAACAGAGAAGUGGUGCCUCCUAUUCUGUUAAGGCAAUCAGUGGAGUGAAUGAGUAAUGAGUGAGAAGACAUUAAUACCACUGGUGCUUAAUGAACUCAAUCGUCUUUGCUGCAUACCCCUAAUUUCCACAGCCUGCUAAAUAAAAGUUUAUUUAUG